GCGAAUUGCCCUUCGGGGUGCAGCAGGCGCGAAAACUUUACAAUGCGGGAAACCGUGAUAAGGGGACACCGAGUGCCAGCAUCAUAUGCUGGCUGUCCAGGUGUGUAAAAUACACCUGUUAGCAAGGGCCGGGCAAGACCGGUGCCAGCCGCCGCGGUAACACCGGCGGCCCGAGUGGUGAUCGUGAUUAUUGGGUCUAAAGGGUCCGUAGCCGGUUUGGUCAGUCCUCCGGGAAAUCUGAUAGCUCAACUAUUAGGCUUUCGGGGGAUACUGCCAGACUUGGAACCGGGAGAGGUAAGAGGUACUACAGGGGUAGGAGUGAAAUCUUGUAAUCCCUGUGGGACCACCUGUGGCGAAGGCGUCUUACCAGAACGGGUUCGACGGUGAGGGACGAAAGCUGGGGGCACGAACCGGAUUAGAUACCCGGGUAGUCCCAGCCGUAAACGAUGCUCGCUAGGUGUCAGACAUGGCGCGACCGUGUCUGGUGCCGCAGGGAAGCCGUGAAGCGAGCCACCUGGGAAGUACGGCCGCAAGGCUGAAACUUAAAGGAAUUGGCGGGGGAGCAC
rnacentral:rRNA from 1 species